rnacentral:miRNA from 1 species
UAAGUGCGUGCAUGUAUAUGUG